UACAGAGGGUGCGAGCGUUGUUCGGAAUUAUUGGGCGUAAAGGGCGCGUAGGCGGUGCGGUAAGUCACCUGUGAAACCUCUGGGCUUAACUCAGAGCCUGCAGGCGAAACUACCGUGCUGGAGUGUGGGAGAGGUGCUUGGAAUUCCCGGUGUAGCGGUGAAAUGCGUAGAUAUCGGGAAGAACACCUAUGGCGAAGGCAGCUCUCUGGGACGGUACUGACGCUGAGACGCGAAAGCGUGGGGAGCAAACAGG
rnacentral:rRNA from 1 species